rnacentral:pre_miRNA from 1 species
GGGCUGGAGCGGCUGCAAAGCAGUGAUGGUGGUUUCUGUAUUGCACUCGUCCCGGCCGAU